AUUGAACGCUGGCGGCAUGCCUUACACAUGCAAGUCGAACGGCAGCACGGGUGCUUGCACCUGGUGGCGAGUGGCGAACGGGCGAGUAAUACAUCGGAACGUACCUUAUCGUGGGGGAUAACGCAGCGAAAGCUGUGCUAAUACCGCAUACGCCCUGAGGGGGAAAGCGGGGGAUCGAAAGACCUCGCGCGAUUAGAGCGGCCGAUGCCUGAUUAGCUUGUUGGUGGGGUAAAAGCCCACCAAGGCGACGAGCAGUAGCUGGUCUGAGAGGACGAUCAGCCACACUGGGACUGAGACACGGCCCAGACUCCUACGUGAGGCAGCAGUGGGGAAUUUUGGACAAUGGGGGCAACCCUGAUCCAGCAAUGCCGCGUGAGUGCAGAAGGCCUUCGGGUUGUCAAGCUCUUUUGUCAGGGAAGAAACACCGGCUCUAACGCAGUCCGGGAAUGACGGUACCUGAAGAAUAAGCACCGGCUAACUACGUGCCAGCCGCCGCAGUAA
rnacentral:rRNA from 1 species